rnacentral:ncRNA from 1 species
UAAAAGUUUUAUUUUAACUUGGAAAUUAAAUUUAAUUUUUAUUUAUAUACAAAUUUUAGUAUGAAAGAUUUAAAAUUUUAAAUAGGUUUUAAUUAUUUUAUUAAAUGUAAUAAUUAAUAUUAUUUAUUAAGGAAACUUAGAAAUAGAAAUAAUUAAAUAAUAUUAACUAAAUUUGUGCCAGCAGUUGCGGUUAUACAAAUAAUAUAAUUUAAUUUUAUUAGUUUUAAUAAUUAUUAUAAAUAUAUUAAUUUUAAAUUAAAAUUUAUUAAGUGAAAUUUUAAAUUUUAUAAUAAAUUAAUAAUUAAUUUAUGAAUUUAGGAAAUUUUAUUUUUAAACUAGGAUUAGAUACCCUAUUAUUUUUAAUGUAAAAAAAAUUUAAACUAGAUUAGUAUUAGUUAUGUUCUUGAAAAUUAAAAGAUUUGGCGGUAUUUUAGUCUAUUCAGAGGAAUCUGUCCUAUAAUUGAUGAUCCACGAUUAAAUUUACUUAUUUUUUUAAUUUGUAUAUCGUCGUAGGUUGAAUAUUUUUUAAGGAUUUAAAUGUUCAAGAUUUUUAAUUAGAAAAAAUAUCAGAUCAAGGUGCAGUUUAUAAAUAAGGAGAGAUGGAUUACAAUAAAUUUAUUUAGAUGGAUAAAAGUUUUUAAAAUUUUUAGAAAGUGGAUUUGAGAGUAAUUUUUUUAUAUUGAAAAAAUGAUUUAAGCUCUAAAAUAUGUACAUAUCGCCCGUCGCUUUCAUUAUAAAGUGAAAUAAGUCGUAACAAAGUAGGCCUACUGGAAUGUGGGCCUAGAAAGG